CAUGUCCAUCAUGCACUGCUUCCAGACCGAGAAGUGGCUCGACUAUAGUACAAACCCCUUGAAAACGCACCUUGCGGCUCGCUGCUGCCCUUUCGUAAUCGAACUCGCUAAACUCGCCAGUCGCCCCCCCCCACGCACACACACAUAGACGGAAAGAAUAAUCACAGAGGGAGCGCUGCUUCGAGAGGCGCAUAUCUUGUCGGCACUGCGGCAGCAGCGGCAGAGGAGGCCGAUGCGACCGUGCCUUCCGCGUUUGUGUGCGUGCCAAGGCACACGUAGCGCUGCGAAAGGAGCCCUGUACACAUCCGGCAACUGGGCCGCGCUCCGCACAAAUGUGGCGGUCUCGCCAAGGGCAACGGUACAGGAACUACUGACACCAUCGCUUGUGCCCACACGGCACUACCAGCGGAGUCUUCCCAAGCUGCCGCUGCCGGCUCUUCAUGACACGCUGCAGCGGUACCUGGCGGCUGCGACGCCUCUUUGUGCACCGCCGCAGCUCGCCUCCGCGAGCGCGACUGUAGCCGCCUUUCUGAAGGGCGAGGGGCGUCACGUCCACGAGGAGCUACGGCGCACGGACAAGGCGAAUCCGCACACGUCGUACAUUUCGUCCGACCUGUUUGAGCAGACCUUGAAAGGGCGGAGCGCGCUGCCGCUGCGCUCGCACAGAACGUGGCUUGUGCGGCCGGAUCCGGAGAAGCAAGACAUGCUGGUACGGAGCGCCUACUGGCUCUGGGCCUCGGUUCAAUUCUACAAGCUGUACCUCGAUAAUCAACUCCGCCCGGAAGUGCGGUACGCUGUUGAUGGCAUCUUUUCGAAAAGGAGCGGCUACUGGACCGCCGAGUGGUUCCAACGCACCGCGGCGCUGCUCCCCGAUUAUGUGAGCACCCCGUUCGUCUACAGCGCCUCGCUCGGUGUCGCGCAGCCGCUGGACAUGUCGCAGUUCGACUGCCUUUUUAAUUCUUCGCGGAUGCCAGGUGUCCUCCAGGACGAAAUAAAGCCGGUCGGCUUUGUACCUCAUGCAUUGGUACAGUACCGCGGUCAUCAGUUUCAGAUCACUGUGGCCGAUGCAGACUGCGUGCCGCUUUCCAUUGAUGAGCUGUACGCUCAGCUCCGUGAUAUUGUGUGCACGAACGUAGCACCGGCACACACCGACGUGAGCGUCUUCACCGCACUGCCGCGCACGGAGUGGAACGGGGCCCGGACGAUGCUGUUACGAAACGUCAUCAAUGGCAAAAGCCUGGAGGCUGUGGAAGAGAGUAUGUUGGUGCUGAAUCUCGACGCGGACGACGAGAGGGACGCCAUGGUGGACCCAACGUCCCCUGUGGGGGUGACGGCGAAGUCGCCUUCCGUGCGAGCCGGCAACCGUUGGUGGGACAAGAGUCUGUCGGUGUCUGUUAACAGCCGCGGCGAUAUUGCCGUCUCGGCCGAGUCGAGCUGGGGCGACGGCGUGGCAGUACGGCGGUACAUCAACGAUGUAUACGCCCUCAGUCGUGCAGCGCACAGCCACGUGUUACGGAAGGACGCGCCGGCCACGCACAAGAUCCGCCAGCUUCAGUGGCACGUCCCAGACGAGCUCGUGGCUGCGGCGCAAAGAGUCACGAGGCGUGUGACCAAGGAUCGCGAGAGCCUCGAUGUCGCCGCCGGGGUGCUUGACAUUGCCACAACACCCACUCCCGCCGUCGAGGCCACGGUGCAGCUGGCGGCACAGCUCGCCAUGUUCCGCGUGCACCAGCAGCAGCCGAUGAACUGCAUGCAGAACACAGACAUGCAUUGCUAUCGCCGCGGCCGCAGCGAGCAAAUCCCGCUCACCACGCUGGAGAGCACCGCUUUCCUGCUGAGCAUGCGCUCCUCAGUACGAGAGACGCAGCAAGCAGCGUGCCACGCGGCCGUGCAACGCUACAAGGCAGAGAAGAAGGCCGUCAGUCGCGGAAGCAGCACCUACAGCCACCUGCUGGCUUUGCGCCUAACGGCGGAGCGCUUUCUUGGCCGAGUUCCUGACUUGUACAACGACCCUGUCUUUUCGCUUGUCGCCGAGCCCGCGCUGCGCUUUGAGAUGGUCGAGGCGGGGGCGACCUACGGCUGUGGGUACGCGCUCCACCCAUUUAGUUGCCACCUCACCUGUAGCCGCACGGGAUCGACUCUGCUGUAUCAGGUGACAUCUCCACCCCCAUCGUCCGUGGGCGUUGCCACCUCAAGCGCCACCUUUGCAGCGGCCUUUACGCGCGCAUGCCAGGAGGUGUCGGCCCUGCUGGCGCCGGACUGACCCGGGGGUGUUACAAGGGAAACGCGAAAGCGAAACAGGAGGCAUGGUGCUCGCAACGCGUUGCUUUCCUUUCCUCUCUAUGCAACCUCACGCGCUCAUAAGCCGCAAGACGAAGUCCCCCCCCCUCUCCGCUAUUCCGCCCUCACCUACUUGGAGUGCGCGACAAGUGUAGACCGCAUGUGUGAGCUCCUGCGUAGAUCGAAACGGAAAGUGCAGCCAGGCUGCUGUGGCCGUCCUCAGCAGCUAUCCUACCAGCCUCCAACCCGUCACACACCCGCUUCGCCUCGCUCCAUCGCCUUCCUCUUCCUCCUUCCCUUUUCAUCGACUCUAACGGUGCCAUACUGCAAGGCCGACUUUAUCAGAGGGGGGGGGGAAGGAGUAGCAGAGACAGAGGAAACCAUGGGGCCCGUGGGGCCAAAGUUGUGCUUUCAAGCACGCAUAUCGCUCGCUGCAUUCCGGAUUCGUGAGGGCGCCGCGGCGAAUGAGGAGGGGGGGGCUCUCUUUCUCUUGCGUUGCGUAUGGGCUGCCCCGCCCACCACCUCCUCCCCACAACAAACGACAGCGACCAUUUCAGGAGUCUCUCGCGCAUUUUCUGUUGUUAUUCGUGGCCGUCUUCUCCUCCCAGCGGCGUUGCGGUGCGCCCCUCUGUGUCCACCCCGUGCUGUCUGUAACAGGGUGACACGCCCUCCACGGCGCAAACGAAAUCCGCCGAUUUGCGGUACCCGCGCGAUUUUCCUCUCCACGCCUUGUCGCGUGUUUGUGUGGGACGUGUCUCACAGCUUGUGCGGCGUUGCACUGUCCGCGUUUCGUGUGCCGCGCUUCAUGACUCAGCGUGCCGCGGAGCCUUUCCGUCGGCGAUUGCAGCCAUACACUGCGGCUGCGAAGGAAGCGUGGGCGGUGGCUCCUUCACUGUCUCCACCCGCGCGACUGCGCCUCGUCGGCUUUCACACGUCACCUCAUUUUUCCUAUCCUUACGGCUCUGCCCUCUCUUUU
rnacentral:misc_RNA from 1 species